CAAGCCAGAAGAGGCGCGUCGCCCAGGCAGUGUGUUCAAGGACCCGUAUCCAGCGAGAACACAUCAGGGGGUGCGACGCCGAGGUGGCGCAACACGCGGAGUGUUGUGCUGUCGGCUGCAGGGGCUGAAUCCUCUGGGUUGUCACCAGAAUCGUCCGCAGUCGGACGAUUCGCAAGGUGAAGUGCUUUUGGUGAC
rfam:Pantoea wallisii strain LMG 26277 Contig0001_, whole genome shotgun sequence.